GAUGAACGCUGGCGGCGUGCUUAACACAUGCAAGUCGAACGGAAAGGCCGAAGCUUGCUUCGGUACUCGAGUGGCGAACGGGUGAGUAACACGUGGGUGAUCUGCCCUGUACUUCGGGAUAAGCUUGGGAAACUGGGUCUAAUACCGGAUAUGACGAUCUCUUGGAUGGGGUUGUGGAAAGCUUUUGCGGUAUGGGAUGAGCGCGCGGCCUAUCAGCUUGUUGGUGGGGUAAUGGCCUACCAAGGCGUCGACGGGUAGCCGGCCUGAGAGGGUGUACGGCCACAUUGGGACUGAGAUACGGCCCAGACUCCUACGGGAGGCAGCAGUGGGGAAUAUUGCACAAUGGGCGCAAGCCUGAUGCAGCGACGCCGCGUGGGGGAUGACGGCCUUCGGGUUGUAAACUCCUUUCGCAAUCGACGAAGCCUUUUGGUGACGGUAGGUUGAGAAGAAGCACCGGCUAACUACGUG
rnacentral:rRNA from 1 species